rnacentral:rRNA from 1 species
AGCAGUAGCCGCGGUAAUACGUAGGGUGCGAGCGUUAAUCGGAAUUACUGGGCGUAAAGCGUGCGCAGGCGGUUCGUUAAGACAGAUGUGAAAUCCCCGGGCUUAACCUGGGAACUGCAUUUGUGACUGGCGAGCUAGAGUAUGGCAGAGGGGGGUAGAAUUCCACGUGUAGCAGUGAAAUGCGAAGAGAUGUGGAGGGAUACCGAUGGCGAAGGCAGCCCCCUGGGCCAAUACUGACGCUCAUGCACGAAAGCGUGGGGAGCAAACAGGAUUAGAUACCCGUGUAGUCCCUGUCUCUUAUAC